CUGGCGGCAUGCCUUACACAUGCAAGUCGAACGGCAGCACGGGUGCUUGCACCUGGUGGCGAGUGGCGAACGGGUGAGUAAUACAUCGGAACAUGUCCUGUAGUGGGGGAUAGCCCGGCGAAAGCCGGAUUAAUACUGCAUACGAUCUGAGGAUGAAAGCGGGGGACCUUCGGGCCUCGCGCUAUAGGGUUGGCCGAUGGCUGAUUAGCUAGUUGGUGGGGUAAAGGCCUACCAAGGCGACGAUCAGUAGCUGGUCUGAGAGGACGACCAGCCACACUGGGACUGAGACACGGCCCAGACUCCUACGGGAGGCAGCAGUGGGGAAUUUUGGACAAUGGGCGAAAGCCUGAUCCAGCAAUGCCGCGUGUGUGAAGAAGGCCUUCGGGUUGUAAAGCACUUUUGUCCGGAAAGAAAUCCUUGGUUCUAAUAUAGCCGGGGGAUGACGGUACCGGAAGAAUAAGCACCGGCUAACUACGUGCCAGCAGCCGCGGUAAUACGUAGGGUGCAAGCGUUAAUCGGAAUUACUGGGCGUAAAGCGUGCGCAGGCGGNUUGCUAAGACCGAUGUGAAAUCCCCGGGCUCAACCUGGGAACUGCAUUGGUGACUGGCANGCUAGAGUAUGGCAGANGGGGGUAGAAUUCCACGUGUAGCAGUGAAAUGCGUAGAGAUGUGGA
rnacentral:rRNA from 1 species